rnacentral:lncRNA from 1 species
CCUGAGGUCAUACAGGGACAUAACUCCUGAGGAUGGGAUGUCAUUGAGCUGGUCAUGAGUUGACUCUUGGAUUUGGUUCAAUAUUUUUCAGGACUCACAUUGGUUCAUUCAUUGCCGCCUUGCUGUAUUACUGUGUCAGGUCACCAUUUACCAGAGCUCGAGGUCAAAAGCAGUUACCUGGACUGGUUGUCCGAUUCCUGGUGUUUACGAAUAAUCCUCCACCAUUUGCCCCAGUAAAUGCAGACAGCCGCGAGGCAUCCAGACGACUACACCACCCUCUAGCUCUCAUGAGGACUCGUGUGAACUGAGUGUUUCUGCCUGGCCACACUUUCAGGGCAUAUGCACGUAUGGCAAACCCUUCACCUAAAAUGUGAGCACUCAUUUUAGAAAAUGAGGACAUUGGGUGCAUUUCAGCCCCUCUUUAUUUAAGGCUGGACCAGCGGACGAACCUCAGUGGUGUCCCUGGGCACAGAGGAACCAGAGCGACAAGCCAAGAGAAGCGAUGGGGCAGAAAGCUACAGGACAGCUGGACACCUCUCGCCUGCUGGUCCCCAUUCUCCUGAUGCUGGGCUGGAUUGUUGGUUGUGCAAUCGUCGUCUACUUUGUCUUUUCAUAGGAGUCCGUGGACGUUGUAUCUCAGCCAGGGAGAAAACGCUUCCCCAUCUGUCAUCAUUCAAGAUGUGUCUGUUCUGACACAUGAAACAAAGAUGACAGCACAUCUUAUAAGUGUGCAUUUGGAAUAGAAAUGUUGUCUGUAUAUAUUUUCUCUCACUUUUCCUAUUUUAACUGCAUCAUUGGAAUAUGAAUAUAAUGGAUGAUGGACAGCAUGAUUUAAGCACCAUAGACUGCUUCUCUGCCCCCCACAAAAUAUUAAUGAUAUUUAGAAAAAGAAGAAAUGAACUCAUUUAAGAUGAUGGACCCACAAUGGUGGGUAACCCUGUUCACAUGCUUUGUGUAUUUAUUGUCACCAUCUGUUUCAACCUCCUGGCACAUAGUGUCACUGUGAAUUCUUUGUUAGUGGUCUUAUAGGUUUUAAAUAAACAGUUAUGAGUGAAAGUGUCUCCA